rnacentral:piRNA from 1 species
UUCAAAGUCAUCCUCGGCUACAAAGUGAGU